CAACUACUCCCUCUGUCCCAAAUUUCUUGUCUUAGAUUUGUCUAGAUACGGAUGUAUCUAAUACUAAAAUGUGACUUGAUACAUCUGUAUCUAGACAAAUCUAAGACAAGAAUUUUGAGACGGAGGGAGUAGCUU
rnacentral:pre_miRNA from 1 species